AUGGACGAACAUACAUUGAAGGUGUGUUCUCUCUUGGGCAUGUCAGAUUCAGAACCUGAAGACCCGGACAAGGGAAGGAACUACUUCGUGAAGGCCUUGAUAAACGAAGGCGAAUACUACCGCCAAUGUUGCAAAUUCGAACGGGACGGAAUUGUGUGCUGUCACAUACCGAAAGUAAUGGACAUGGUCGCGGUAACACGAUUGCCCCGCCAUUUCAUACGGUGGCGAUGGACUUGGGAUGCCGACGAUGCGUUGGGGCCACAAACAUCAAAUGCAGUUUUGGUUGUGCAUGAUGAGAGACCAGACACAGCCAUGGAAGCUGUGAGGCACGUUGUGUUGACCAAGAACUAUGUUGAACUAAUAGAUGAAGCAUGCAAGAGUGAUGAGAUAGCGAGGGUGGCAGAAAAACACAGGAAGGCCCUGAAAAGAUAG
rnacentral:rRNA from 1 species